rnacentral:rRNA from 1 species
GUUUGCCUACGGGGCGCAGCAGUAGGGAAUCUUCCACAAUGGACGAAAGUCUGAUGGAGCAACGCCGCGUGAGUGAAGAAGGGUUUCGGCUCGUAAAGCUCUGUUGGGAGUGAAGAAAGAUAGAGGGAGUAACUGGCCUUUAUUUGACGGUAAUUACUUAGAAAGUCACGGCUAACUACGUGCCAGCAGCCGCGGGAAUACGUAGGUGGCAAGCGUUGUCCGGAUUUAUUGGGCGUAAAGAGAGUGCAGGCGG